UACGUAGGGGGCUAGCGUUGUCCGGAUUUAUUGGGCGUAAAGAGCGUGUAGGCGGCCAGGUAGGUCUGGUGUGAAAACUCGAGGCUUAACCUCGAGAUGUCAUCGGAAACCAUCUGGCUAGAGUCCGGAAGAGGAGAGUGGAAUUCCUGGUGUAGCGGUGAAAUGCGCAGAUAUCAGGAAGAACACCAAUGGCGAAAGCAGCUCCUCGUGGGACGGUACUGACGCUGAGACGCGAAAAGCGUGGGGAGCGAACAGG
rnacentral:rRNA from 1 species